UACGUAGGGUGCGAGCGUUGUCCGGAAUUACUGGGCGUAAAGAGCUCGUAGGUGGUUUGUCGCGUUGUUCGUGAAAACUCACAACUCAAUUGUGGGCGUGCGGGCGAUACGGGCAGACUGGAGUACUGCAGGGGAGACUGGAAUUCCUGGUGUAGCGGUGGAAUGCGCAGAUAUCAGGAGGAACACCGGUGGCGAAGGCGGGAUCUCUGGGCAGUGACUGACGCUGAGGAGCGAAAAGCGUGGGGAGCGAACAGG
rnacentral:rRNA from 1 species